UCUUGGGAUCUCAAAGGACCCUGUGCAGCAGGCCACUAUUUGAAUGUGUGUUGCUCCUUGUGGCAGGUAUACUGUUCCAAUGCCCUGGGAUCUCUGUAGUGGUCGGUACUGUAUUGAUUAUAAAUGGUGAAGUCCUAGUAUCUUGCUAGAGUGAGCUGGCCAGGAUGGUGGAGCUCUACCACCAUUUCACAGGUUAUAGACAGGGGCCACCAGGUUUCAGGAAAGCAGCAAUGACCCCUCAGUAAUAGUUGGAAAGUGUGAUAUGACACUGAGCUUCACUGUGUUGGUGAAGAAGAGGUGAGGAAAAUAAAAGCUGCAGUUUGCCUCCACCUCUGAAGAAGCACAAUACACCUUUCUGGGUUACCAAUGGGAUACUUCCCAACAGCUUUGUCAUCACAUACAAUAUUCUCAAACAAGAUCUUAAUGGCAUCUACUUUCUCCAGGAACACAGCCCCUGACCUGUGUGUGUUUGCGUAGAGAAGGCAUGCUAUGUACCCCCUAGGAUAUCAAGAUUCCUGUAGCAGAUUGAGCUCUGGCAGUUGAUCUCAGUGGCUUGAUAGAGUGUCAUUAUAAAAACGCACCUGGAAGAUUCUGUGGAAAAGACAACCUCAGAAGACCAAGAGGCUGACUUUGCAAGAGAGAGUCCGUUUACCACUUAGAACCGUGAACACCACCCCCGCCCUCAUUUAUCUCCAGACUUGAACUAGUGGUUAAAUCCCAACAUGUCCCAGAGAAGUCAAAAGCAUUGUAAAAUCUGGGAAUCUGCCCACCACUCAAGCCUGGGAAAGCUGGCAGAGGAUGCACGUGUUUUACUCACCUGAGUGUUUACAAUGCUCGUGAGGUGCCUCCCUGAUAAUUUGUAGGUUAAACCUUGGAUAUUCCCAUCUGAGCAUCUGUACCAAACAGAAAAGACCUGUGUGAGUUCCUGAGAACCAGUGCUCAUUCCAGAAGAGACAGGUUUCUCUCCAGGAAGAAAUGUCUGAAAUUCAGUGAAUUAAAAUCCUCAUUGAGUCUUCCUAC
ensembl:lncRNA LINC00616 long intergenic non-protein coding RNA 616